UCUCAAAAACAAACUGCGAAUACAUAGGUUGAUGAGAGAAAUUAAUGACACGGGGGUCAGGGCGGCUAGGUGGUCUAGUGGAGUAAGUCUCCGGCAAAGCAUCUCUAGAUACCAGGUUCGAUUCCUGGCUCCGUCGUUAAUUUUUCAAGUC